AUUUAAAUAGUUUAAGUAAAAUAUUGAUUUGUGGUAUCAAUGAUAAGAAUUAAUUCUUUUUAAAUC
rnacentral:tRNA from 1 species